GUACCAACAUCUGCAUUAUAGGGGUUCCAGAAGAAGAGAGAGAAAGGGAUCAAAAAUGUAUUUGAUGGAAUUAUGGUUGAAAACUUCUCAAAUAUGAAGAUGGAAAAAGAUAUCCAAGUACAGGAAGCACAGAGGAUCCAAAAAAGAUAACUCAAAUAGACACGCACCAAGACACAUCAUAACUGAAACGGCAAAAAUUAAAGAUAAUGAGAGAAUUCUGAAGGCGGCAAGAUAAAAACAAAGAGUCACAUACAAAGGAAUCCCCAUAAUACUAUCAGCUGAUUUCUCUGCAGAAACUUUGCAGGCCAGAAGGGAGAGACAUGAUACAUUCAAAGUGCUGAAAGGAAAAGCCUGAAAUCUAGAAUAUUCUACCCAGCAAUAUUAUCAUUUAGAAUAGAAAGAUAAACAACUCAGACAAGCAAAAACAUAAAGUUUAUGAAUACUAAACCCACCCUGAAAUAAAUGUAAAAGGAACUUCCCUAAGUGGAAAAUAAGUAAGAAUCUAUAGGAAAGUGAAAAAUCCCAUUCAAAAAGACAAAUUUAUAGAAAGGGCUGAGGAUUAACCACUUACUAAGCUAGAUCAAAGGUUUUUUUUUUAAUGUAAAAGCAAUGUUAACUAUAAUAAACAGUGAGAUGUAAACUAUGACAUCAAAAACACAAGAUAUGGGGGAGCAGAGUAAAAAAUGUACAUCUUUUAGAAUGUGUUUGAACUGAAAUGACUACCAGUUUAAAACAAGUAGAUGUAGUUAUAGAUCGUCAUAUAUUAAACUAAGGUAAUCACAAAUCAAAAAUCUACAAUAGAAACACAAAAGCCAGAAAGAAAGGAACACAGGCAUACUUCUUUGUGAAGAAAAUCAUCAAACCACAAGGGAAGAAACAAAAAGAAGUAGAAAUGAACUGAGAAAAACUAUCCAAAAAAACUGGAGAACAAGUAACAAAAGGGCAAUAAGUACAUAACUAUCAAAAAUUACUUUAAAUGUCAAUGGACUAAAUGGUCUGAUCAAAAUAUCUAGGGUGGCUCAUUGGAUUAAAAAACAAGAUCCAUUCCGUCUAUAUGCUGCCCACAAGAGACUAGCUUCAGAAUUAAAGACGCACACAGAUUGAAAGUGAGGGGAUGGAAAAAUAUAUUUCAUGCAAAUGGAAAUGACAAAAAAACAGCCCGUAGGAAUACUUAGACAAAAUAGAUUUUAAAACAAAGGCUAUAAAAAAGAAGAAAGAAGGUCAUUAAAUGAUGAUUAAGUGACCAGUACAAGAAGAGGACAUUACACACAUUAACAUAUAUGCACCCAAUACAAGAGCACCUAGAUAUAUGAAGCAAAUAUUGAGAGAGAUAAAGGGAGACAUUUACAAUAAUACAAUAACACCAUGAUAUUUUAAAGGCCACUGACAUCAAGGGACAGACCAUACAGAUGGAAAUCAGGAAGGCAGCAAUGGUCUUGAGAGACACAAUAGACCAUUUGGACUUAAUAGGCAUCUGUAGGACAUUCCACCCCACACAGCAGAAUACACCUUUUCAAGUGCACAUGGAAUGUUCUCAAGGACAAAUCACAUGCUAGGCCACAAAAAAGUCUCAACGAUUUAGAAAAGCAGAAAUUACACUUUUUUUCUGAUCACAAAAGUGUGAAACUAGAAAUUACAGAAAGAAAUAUGAGAAAAGCACAAUUGCGUUGAGACUAAACAGCAUGCUACUAAAAAACAAUGGGACCGUGAAGAAAUCAAAGGGGAAAUGAGAAAACAUCUUGAGACAAAUGAAAAUGAAAACACAACUUUACAAAAUCUAUAGGAUGCAGUGAAAGCAGUCCUAAGAUGGAGGUUCACAGCAAUACAGGCCUUCCUCAAAAAAACAAGAAAAAUCUCAAAUAAACAACCUAACCUACCAUCUAAAGGAAUUAGACAAAUAUGAACAAAUAAGGCAAAAAGUCAGAAGAAGGAAGGAAAUAAUAAAAAUUAUAGAGAAAAUAAAUAAAAUAGAAGAACAAAAAAUGUAAAAGAUAAGUAAAAUCAAGUGCUGGAGGUUUGAAAAGAUAAACAAAAUUGAUAAACCUUUAGCCAGGCUUACCAAGAAGAAAAGGGAAAGGACACAAAUGAACAACAUAAGAAAUAGAAGAAGAGAGAUAACGACUAAUACCACAGAGUUACAAAAGCUCCUAAGAAAAUACUAUGAAUAGUUGUAUGCCAACAAAUUGGACAACUUACAAGAAAUGAAAAAUUUUCUAGAGCUUCCAAAACUGAAUCAAGAAGAAACAGACAACUGGAGUUCCCGUCAUGGCUCAGCAGUAACAAAACUGACUAGUAUCCAUGAGGACCCAGGUUUGAUCCCUGGCCUCAUUGAGUAGGUUAAGGAUCCAGUAUUGCCAUGAACUGUGAUGUAGAUUGCAGACACGGCUUAGAUCCUGCAUUGCUGUGGCUGUGGCACAGGCCAUCAGCUGCAGCUCCGAUUCAACCCCCUAGCCUGGGAACUUCCAUACGCCACAGGUGCAGCCCUAAAAAAAAAAAGAAGAAACAGACAAUUUGAACAAGCCAAUCAUUAGCAGUGAAACUGAAUUUUUAAUUAAAAAAAAAACAAAACUCCCAGCAAACAAAAGACCAGGACCAAAUGACUUCACAGAGAAUUCUACCAAACAUAUAAAGAAGAGCUAAUAGCUAUCUUUCUCAAACAACUCCAAAAAUUUGAAGAGGAUGGAACAAUCCCAAUUUCACUCCAUAAUCCUGAUACCAAAACCAGACAAAGACAAUAUAGGAAAAAAAUGUUUAUAUAUAGACCAAUAUCUUUGAUGAAUACAUAUGCAAAAAUUCUCAAAAAAAAUACUGGCAAACUGAAACCAACAAUAUAUGAAGAGGAUCAUACAUCAUGAUUUUUUUUUAUUUUAUUUUCCCACUGUACAGCAAGGAUACAUCAUGAUUAAAUGGGAUUUAUUCCAGGGAUGCAAUGAUAGUUCUAUAUUUACAAAUCAAUCAAUACUGAUACACCACAUUAAUAAAAGGAAGGAUAAAAAAAAAAUCACAUGAUCAUCUCAAUAGAUGCAGAAAAAGCAUGACCAAAUACAAAACUCACUCAUGGAAAUACUCUCAUCAAAUUUGGUAUAGAGGAAACAUAUCUCAACAUAAUACAGGCCACUUAUAACAAUCCCACAGGUAACAUGAUACUUAACUAUGAAAAGCUAAAAGCCUUUCCUCUAAAUUCAGGGAAAAGACAAGGAUGCCCAUUCUUAGCAUUUCUUUAACACAGUGUUGGAAGUCCCAGCUACACCAAUCAGACAGAAAAGAAAUAAAAGGAACCCAAAUUGGAAGGAAGAUAAUUGUCACUAUUGGCAGAUGACGUGAUACUACACAUAGAAAACCCUGAACUCUCCACUAAAAAACUGUUAGAACUCAUAAAUGAAUUCAGUAAUGUUGCAAGAUACAAAAUUAAUAUACAGAAACCUUUGCUUCUAUAUACACUAAUAAUGAACUAUCAGAAGAAGAAAACCAAAAAAAAAAAAAUCCCAUUUAAAAUCACAUCCAAAAGAUUAUGAUACCUAGCAAUAAGCUUAACCAAGAAAGUAAAAGACCUACACUCUGAAAACUAUAAAACAUUGGCGAAAAAAAUUGAAGAUGAUACAAAAAAAUGGAAAGAUAUUCCAUAAGUUAAUAUUGUUAAAAUGGCCAUACUACCCAAAGCAAUCUACCAAUUUAAUAAAAUCUCUACCAAAAAACCUAUGACACUUUUCACAGAACUAGAACAAAUGAUUUUAAAACGUGUAUAGAAACACAAAAGACCCCAAAUAGCCAAAACAAUCUUGAGAAAGAACAGAGCUGAAAGUAUCACACUCCCUGACCUCAGACUAUACUACAAAUCUACAGUAAUCAAAAUGGCAUGGUACUGGCACAAAAACAGACACAUAGUAGAUCAACAUAACAAAACAGAGAGCCCAGAAAUACAUCCAUGUCCCCAUGGCCAGUUAAUCUAUGAGAAGGUAGAAAAGACAGUCUCUUUUCGGAAGUGCUGUUGGGAAAACUGGAGAGUUACAUGUAAAAAAAUGAGAUUAAAACAUUAACCUCAUACCUUAUACAAACAUAAACUCAAAGACCUAAAUUUAAGACCCGAAACCAUAACACUCUGAGAAGAGAACACAGGCAGAAAGAACACUCUGUGACAUAAAUUGUAUUAAUAUGUUUUUGGAUUUGUCUCCUAAGGCAAAAUAAAUAAAGGCAACAAUAAGCAAAUGGGAUUUAAUUAAGUUUAAAAGCUUUUGCAUGGCAACAGAAGCAAUCAAUAAAGUGAAAAGACAACCUACUGAAUGGGAUAAAAUAUUUGCAAAUGAUAUGACCAAAAAGAGGUUAAUAUCCAAAAUAUAUAAAAAGUUCAUACUACUCCAUAUCAAAUGAACAAGCAAACAAACAAUGCAAUCAAAAAAAAAAGCAGACAAUCUGGAAAGACAUUUUUCCAAAUAAGACAUACAGAUGGACAACAGGCACAUGAAAAGAUGCACAUUACUAUAUUACUAGAGAGUGCAAAUCAAAAGAAAGAGAUAUCACCUCAUACCUGUCAUAACGGCUCAUCUACAAGUAACCAGUGUUGAUGAGGAUGUGGAGAAAAGGGAACCAUGUACACUAUGGGGGGCAAUGUAAAUUGGGGCAGCCAUUAUGGAAAAUAAUAUGGAAAAAACCCUAAAAAUAGAACUACAAUGUGAUACAGCAUUCCACUCCUGAGCAUAUAUCCAAAGAAAUUUAAAACACUAAUUCAAAAAAUACAUGUACUCAGGUCCAUCGACAGAUGAUUGGAUUCGGAAGAUGUGGUAUAUAUACACAAUGGAAUACUACUCAGCCAUAAAAAGAAUGACAUAAUGCCAUUUGCAGCAACAUGGAUGGAGCUAGAGAAUCUCAUACGGAGUGAAAUGAGCCAGAAAGACAAAGACAAAUACCAUAUGAUAUCACUUAUAACUGGAAUCUAAUAUCCAGCACAAAUGAACAUCUCCUCAGAAAAGAAAAUCAUGGACUUGGAGAAGAGACUUGUGGCUGCCUGAUGGGAGGGGGAGGGAGUGGGAGGGAUCGGGAGCUUGGGCUUAUCAGACACAACUUAGAAUAGAUUUACAAGGAGAUCCUGCUGAAUAGCAUUGAGAACUAUGUCUAGAUACUCAUGUUGCAACAGAACAAAGGGUGGGGGAAAAAAUGUAACUGUAAUGUAUGCAUGUAAGGAUAACCUGACCCCCUUGCUGUACAGUG
rnacentral:lncRNA from 1 species